rnacentral:misc_RNA from 1 species
GAAAUAGAUAUACCAUAAAGUAUCAUAAUAGGGCUUCUAGAAAGAAUUCACUAGGGACUCUUGGGGAUCACACCACAGAUCCCGUGUAUAUAGCUUCUCAACAAUCAAAGCAGUAAUGCAAAAUUCUGCUUUAGGACCUCUUUUUCAAAAUAUGGCCCAUCUAAGGAGGUUCCUGGAGAGCCUGAAUUGAGGAAGUUUCUCCAAGUUAUGGGCUAGGCAGCUAGCCUCCCCAAGGGUGAAGUUCCCUUAGGAAACAAAUGUUCUUCUCCUAAAGACCGGAACUUCUUCUAAGACCACAAAAUUGACCCCUUAUUAUAAAACUCUAGAUUAUUCUUAUUUGCACAGAACUCAGUAACAGUUUUCUUGAGCUAUCAUCAGGAGGUCUUGAAUUGAAGUAAAAUUUGGCUUCCUUCCAAAGCCUUCUGGACUCCUAACCAUCACCAUCUUGAGAAAAUUAAAUGAUAAUCAAGAUCUAGCACGUUGAGCUUUUCCAUGGCAAGGUAGACCAUAGAUCCAGGCCAAGAGUCCUCAAUACACAGAGACACAUGCACAAGAUG